rnacentral:rRNA from 1 species
GCAAGUCGAACGAUGAACCGCUUUCGGGCGGGGAUUAGUGGCGAACGGGUGAGUAACACGUGGGCAAUCUGCCCUGCACUCUGGGACAAGCCCUGGAAACGGGGUCUAAUACCGGAUAUGACCGUCUGCCGCAUGGUGGAUGGUGUAAAGCUCCGGCGGUGCAGGAUGAGCCCGCGGCCUAUCAGCUUGUUGGUGAGGUAGUGGCUCACCAAGGCGACGACGGGUAGCCGGCCUGAGAGGGCGACC